rnacentral:lncRNA from 1 species
GGCUGCUUCUGUUUCCUCACUACUGUGAAGCCAGCUGCAAUGAACAUGGGCUGGCUGGGUGUCCUACAAACUUCAUACCCAUCGCCGGGAUUUCUGCUCCAUGCUCCUGUAGGUUUUCAGAGCAGAGUCUCCAAAGCAAGCACCCUUAACCAAGUUGGUCUCCCAGCUCAGGGAUACCCAGUCCACAUCACUCCAGGGCUCUGGCAAGCAGGCCACCUGUUUAAUUCAUUGCAACUGAUGUCUUCUACUGUAAUGUCUGUUUUGUGUUCCAGAGCCUUUUUCAAAUCUAGCAAUAAAUAGACCCAGAGCUACUUCUCAAGGACUGCAAUUAGCAUUGCAUUGAUGGCGGCAGCUUGGGAGGGAUAAGAGCUGGAGGAGGGACACCCGAUUUUCUCUUGGAAUGCUCUGGCCUGCUCAGACUGCUGAGUUGACAUUCUUCAAAUGCCCUGGCCUCUGCCUGGCUCAGUUUAGUAUGUUCUCUCAAGGGACCGUUCAUCUAUGAAAACCAAGCACAAGCUGACACAUUCACUCAGAUUUCUUUUAAAUAUCAGCCUGAUGAGUUCACCCUCAUUUGAGAAUUAAAUGGGAAUUAAAACUGUGAAGGAAACAGUUAAAAUUUCACUCAGGUGAGGGGUACAAUGGGCAAGCCCCGGCUAAACAUUUGAGGAGCAAACACAUAGAGGUGGGCAAAGGUCUUCAGGUUCAAAGGCUUGUUUGGAAAAAAAAUUCUGAAAACGUCCCUGUUUUUGCUGAAGUUCAUCUGUCCAUCCCACUUGCUCUGAAGACUCUAAAAACCCAGAGGAGUCAGGGGUGGGAUGAUAGCUCUCAAAUGAACUGUGAAGAGCACUUCCUAGAUGUGUUGCAUUCUCCUACAUAGAAACAGAAGCUGGAAAUGGAGCAAGAGAGCAGAGGCUCUCAAGUUCGGUCCCCAUCACUCCGUAGCCUGGAACCAGCUCUCUUCAUCAUCUUCAGAUCCAGAGGAGGUGGAGUGAGAUAAAGACAAGCAAUCAGCAUUCUGUUUUGGCAUGAAUUUACUUCUCCUGGCUUUUCACUGCUGUUAGUCGAUAAAUACGUAUAGAUUGGGUCCCUGGGAAGAUGUUUGCCCUGAGGAAAAAAAUGAGAGACAAGAAACCUGGAGUCCUCUCAAAACACAAAGUGGAAAGCUCAAAGCAAAGCAAUCCACUGUGUCUUUACUUGGUCCCAACUGCAGACCAGAUGUGCCAUGCUUAGAAAGAGCUAUAUCUCCCUGUCCUAGUUUCAGUUCCAUUCUUACUAGGGUUUGAAAUUUCCUUGCUAGUGACUGUACGAUAAUAAAGAUUCUCGCCAUUGGAAAAUGUAGCUAGCCCUGGCUGAGCUCUAAACUGAAGGAAACCAGAGGGUGGGAGAAUACUAGAUGAGGAAGCACGACGACAUGCAUACCAGCCCUCAUGCUGCUGCUCACUGUGAGGUAGGAGCUCUUGGGCAAGCCACUUGAGUGCCAACUUGAGUCUUGGGUUUCCCAUCGGAGAAGAGUUUCACUUGAUGGCUGAGAGCUCAUUAGCUCUGAUGGCUUUUAUCUCUUUGGUCCAUGGUUAAGGGCUAUUUAGUAUCUAAAACAUGGCUAUGUGGCGCUCACAACUGACUUCAGAUUGAUACCCCUGCAGGUAUCAAUCCUAUGAUAGAGGAUAAACUAGUUCUGCCUUCAAACACCAGGGAGCAAAGUAUUUUUAGUGAUUUGUAUGAAUAAUAAUAAUAAUAGUAAUAAUAACAACAAUAAUAAUUAAACAAUGCC